rnacentral:tRNA from 1 species
GAGGUUGUGGCUCAGAGGUAGAGCACUCACCUGGAACAUGGCAGGCACUGGGUUCGAUCCUCAGCACCACA